AGUGAACGCUGGCGGCGUGCCUAAUACAUGCAAGUCGAACGGAGUGGCGCACGGGUGAGUAAUAUAUAGCUAAUCUGCCCUUUGCUGGCGGACAACAGUUAGAAAUGACUGCUAAUACUCCAUAGCAAGGGAUGGGACUAUAUCGUAUCAGCUAGUCGGUGGGGUAAUGGCCUACUGAGGCUAUGACGCGUAACUGGGCUGAGAGGAUGAUCAGUAACAUUGGACCUGAGGCACGAGUCAAACACCUACGGGAGGCAGCGGUAGGGAAACUUGCGCAAUGGGGGAGACCCAGAAGGAGCAACGCCGCGUGGAGGACGGCACUUUUCGAAGCGUAAACUCCUUUUGUUAGGGAAGCGGUACCUAACGAAUAAGCACCGGCUAACUCCGUGCCAGCAGCCGCGGUAAUUC
rnacentral:rRNA from 1 species